GGCAAAUUGUUUUGCAGCAAUCAGAACAUUUCAUUUUGAAGCAUUGAAUUAUUUUGUUGUGUUUUUAUUUAUAUUUAAAAAAUAUAUAUUUUGCAAGAAAAUUUUGUGAAAAGCUAACAAAAGUCAAAGACUCGAAAUAAGACAAAAAACCAAGAAACAACCACCAAAAUGAGGAUAACUUACAAAGGCUGCUGCUCCAAACAAUGAAUUUUGCCGUGAAUUUCUAAAAAUGUGGUAAAGUACUUAGAGGGAAAUCCUUUGUGGAUUUUCAAACUAUUACUAUGCAAACGGAAUGACGAACUUUAUAUACCCCCCAUACUUUGUUUGGUGGAGGGUAUAAAAAUAACAACUCUCAACGUACCAGCCAUCACUUUGCACAGCAAACGUUUGGAAGCGUUUUGUUCCUAAACGAUAAAGUUCGCCAACCCACAGCCGAAGUGCAUUAAGAAUGACUAUAAAACAGAAAAUCUGUUGUAACCGGCCCAUCGCGAUUUAUUAUUGUUAAUGAGCAAUACACACCAAUAUCGUCUGAUCUAGUCUCAAGUGGCCGGUCGAAGUAGAGGUGUUUAAUGUGAAUAUCUCGCCAGUUGAUAGCGGACAUUAGAUCGCUUUUGGAAGGCAAUAUCUGGUGCUAGAUAAUGAACAGAGGGGAUCACAGCGUUGGCAGAGCAAAAUGAUUGCACACAUUGAGGUUACAACAACAACUCAUAAAGUUCGAUUACCGAGUCUACACUCCUUUAUAGACUUUAAUAUUCAUAAUGGCUUAUGACCUAAUGUUGAAAAACAAUGUAAUCAGAGGGUAAAAGAAAAAUUCGAAGAAUCUCGACUCUCUGCCGACCCAGCUUUAAUCUACAAUUUAUUCCAGACAACGGUUAUAAAUGAAUAAAAUAGAUUAUUUGCUAUGCUAUGUUACAGAACCUGCAAGAAUCGUUGCAAAUUCUGGAAGAGAAUAUCUACCAAAUGCCUUGCUAAGACAGAAAUUUUAAGAACUAUAUCUCAUGAAGUUUAACACGUCUACCUAUAAUAUUGGUAAUAUAAACAAUAAAUUAAACAAGGAAUAAAAGAAGCGAGAAAACACAAUUUAAGUUAUCGAUUGAAAUGUGACUUGCCGAAAUGUUACAAAAAAGUAAUAUAACUAAAUAGACAAUUUCUGCAAAGUGAUCACCAGAUAUCUGCACUAAAUUUCUAUGCAAGAUCAGGCAGAGUUUUAAGUAUUUAAGAGCUGAACAUACUUUUUUUAUUUAUGUCAAAGUCUAAGCAAAAAGCCGUAACCUCUUGAGUUCUACAUAUAUCAAUAUAAAUGUUUGAUAAAUUAAGAUUUGUAUAAAUAAAUAUAAAUUGUUAUCUCAAAGAGAGAUAUGUAUAUGGAAGCAUGGACCACCACAUAUAUUAUAUGUGUUCAUUCACUUAUUAAUAAUUUUUCUGCUAUAUUUUAAUUUAUUUUAAAUAUAGGUGUAUAGUGUCGAUUAUCAAGUUAACGUACUACUAGAUUAUUCGACGAAAAUGCUUUCACAAGGCAGUCUGCUUGUGAUAUGCUGAUAAAUUCCUUCGGGGCAAGAUAUAACAUUCUGCGGCUUUCUACUUCUUUAAAUUGAAUGUUCAUGCCCUAUGAAUCAUCCCAAUAAAAAUUCUUACUUACUUGCAUU